rnacentral:rRNA from 1 species
UCGGGAAUUUUGGGCAAUGGGCGAAAGCCUGACCCAGCAACGCCGCGUGAAGGAUGAAGUAUUUCGGUAUGUAAACUUCGAAAGAAUAGGAAGAAUAAAUGACGGUACUAUUUAUAAGGUCCGGCUAACUACGUGCCAGCAGCCGCGGUAAUACGUAGGGACCAAGCGUUGUUCGGAUUUACUGGGCGUAAAGGGCGCGUAGGCGGCAAUUCAAGUCAUCUGUGAAAUCUCCGGGCUUAACUCGGAACGGUCAGAUGAUACUGCUUUGCUAGAGUGCAGAAGGGGCAAUCGGAAUUCUUGGUGUAGCGGUGAAAUGCGUAGAGAUCGGGAGGAACAUCCGUGGCGAAGGCGGCCAUCUGGACCAACACUGACGUUGAGGCACGAAAGCGUGGGGAGCAAACAGGAUUAGAUACCCUGGUAGUCCCUGAGCGGGCUGGCAAGGCGCAU